CUGAAACAUUUAACAGCCAGUACAGGUGGAACAGGUCUUAGGUGGUUACACUGAUCUCAAGCUCCACCAAUCCGUGAACCUCGGACGUGAUUGAACGCAGUAUUUAAUGCAGACGGGAACUUAUCCAUAGGAGGGUUUUGUGAAGGGAGCACCGGAAUCCACGAGCGGCCUGGUUGCAUUUGAGUGGCUACGUCUUUUGAUGUUGGUAUAAAGGAGCGUUUUUCCUCCGUGGCGAUUGAGCCUCCCAAGCCAGCUCUGCUACAGGCUUGUUUUCCACCUGGGGAGUUUCUCCAUCAGGCACGCAGGGUUCCUGUGCUUCCUCGCCUGUUUCAGGCUUCGACCUCCGGAGUGAGACAACUGAAAUUAAUCAAGACGCGGAGGAAGCUGCAGGUCACAGUAAGACACUCAGACCAGAGUCUGCACUACACAGCUGUGUGACCAUGAAGAAUGACCAGGACAUGGAUGAUCCUGGAAACAUGAGCAGCACAUCAACACAGCCCAAUGCAGGGUGAGUACAGAAAAGCAUGAAUUCACUCACUCAAACACAAACUUACUCAAAGACACAUGAUGAUGCAAAAUACUCUAUGUUGUUUUUCGUAAUUGUUGGAAGCCAUAAUCAUAACAUACAUUUAAAUUUGCUUAAGUGCCCAGCCCUAUUACAAUACCUUCUGGAACUUGAAGUUGCCUUGGUGCAGAUAUUGUUUUAUACCAUUUAGUGUGAACACAAGUUGAUUGGUUUCUUGUCUCUCCUUGUGUUUGUUGACGACAAAGACAGACCUCACACUCUCUCUCUCACACACACACACCGACACACAAACACACUAGGACCAAAACAAAUUUGAGAUGAAAUGCAGUUAUAACUGGCAG
ensembl:lncRNA